GGGUUGUGAGGUUAAGCGACUAAGCGUACACGGUGGAUGCCCUGGCAGUCAGAGGCGAUGAAGGACGUGCUAAUCUGCGAUAAGCGUCGGUAAGGUGAUAUGAACCGUUAUAACCGGCGAUUUCCGAAUGGGGAAACCCAGUGUGUUUCGACACACUAUCAUUAACUGAAUCCAUAGGUUAAUGAGGCGAACCGGGGGAACUGAAACAUCUAAGUACCCCGAGGAAAAGAAAUCAACCGAGAUUCCCCCAGUAGCGGCGAGCGAACGGGGAGGAGCCCAGAGCCUGAAUCAGUGUGUGUGUUAGUGGAAGCGUCUGGAAAGGCGCGCGAUACAGGGUGACAGCCCCGUACACAAAAAUGCACAUGCUGUGAGCUCGAUGAGUAGGGCGGGACACGUGGUAUCCUGUCUGAAUAUGGGGGGACCAUCCUCCAAGGCUAAAUACUCCUGACUGACCGAUAGUGAACCAGUACCGUGAGGGAAAGGCGAAAAGAACCCCGGCGAGGGGAGUGAAAAAGAACCUGAAACCGUGUACGUACAAGCAGUGGGAGCACGCUUAGGCGUGUGACUGCGUACCUUUUGUAUAAUGGGUCAGCGACUUAUAUUCUGUAGCAAGGUUAACCGAAUAGGGGAGCCGAAGGGAAACCGAGUCUUAACUGGGCGUUAAGUUGCAGGGUAUAGACCCGAAACCCGGUGAUCUAGCCAUGGGCAGGUUGAAGGUUGGGUAACACUAACUGGAGGACCGAACCGACUAAUGUUGAAAAAUUAGCGGAUGACUUGUGGCUGGGGGUGAAAGGCCAAUCAAACCGGGAGAUAGCUGGUUCUCCCCGAAAGCUAUUUAGGUAGCGCCUCGUGAAUUCAUCUCCGGGGGUAGAGCACUGUUUCGGCAAGGGGGUCAUCCCGACUUACCAACCCGAUGCAAACUGCGAAUACCGGAGAAUGUUAUCACGGGAGACACACGGCGGGUGCUAACGUCCGUCGUGAAGAGGGAAACAACCCAGACCGCCAGCUAAGGUCCCAAAGUCAUGGUUAAGUGGGAAACGAUGUGGGAAGGCCCAGACAGCCAGGAUGUUGGCUUAGAAGCAGCCAUCAUUUAAAGAAAGCGUAAUAGCUCACUGGUCGAGUCGGCCUGCGCGGAAGAUGUAACGGGGCUAAACCAUGCACCGAAGCUGCGGCAGCGACGCUUAUGCGUUGUUGGGUAGGGGAGCGUUCUGUAAGCCUGUGAAGGUGUGCUGUGAGGCAUGCUGGAGGUAUCAGAAGUGCGAAUGCUGACAUAAGUAACGAUAAAGCGGGUGAAAAGCCCGCUCGCCGGAAGACCAAGGGUUCCUGUCCAACGUUAAUCGGGGCAGGGUGAGUCGACCCCUAAGGCGAGGCCGAAAGGCGUAGUCGAUGGGAAACAGGUUAAUAUUCCUGUACUUGGUGUUACUGCGAAGGGGGGACGGAGAAGGCUAUGUUGGCCGGGCGACGGUUGUCCCGGUUUAAGCGUGUAGGCUGGUUUUCCAGGCAAAUCCGGAAAAUCAAGGCUGAGGCGUGAUGACGAGGCACUACGGUGC
rnacentral:rRNA from 1 species